rnacentral:rRNA from 1 species
AUUGAACGCUGGCGGCAUGCUUUACACAUGCAAGUCGAACGGCAGCACGGGCUUCGGCCUGGUGGCGAGUGGCGAACGGGUGAGUAAUAUAUCGGAACGUACCCAGAAGUGGGGGAUAACGUAGCGAAAGUUACGCUAAUACCGCAUACGAUCUAUGGAUGAAAGCAGGGGACCGCAAGGCCUUGUGCUUCUGGAGCGGCCGAUGACUGAUUAGCUAGUUGGUGAGGUAAAGGCUCACCAAGGCGACGAUCAGUAGCUGGUCUGAGGGGACGACCAGCCACACUGGAACUGAGACACGGUCCAGACUCCUACGGGAGGCAGCAGUGGGGAAUUUUGGACAAUGGGCGCAAGCCUGAUCCAGCAAUGCCGCGUGAGUGAAGAAGGCCUUCGGGUUGUAAAGCUCUUUUGUCAGGGAAGAAACGGUAGAGGCUAAUAUCCUUUGCUAAUGACGGUACCUGAAGAAUAAGCACCGGCUAACUACGUG